ensembl:lncRNA
GUGAAGUAGGUGGGGCUGUUUCACAGACUCUGCUUCUCUUUGGGAUUCAGCAUCGAUGCCUGGCUCACAGGAAGGUGGGACUCAGGGGUUGCCGCUGGCACUGUUGACCCCAAGAACACGGUGGCUGCAAUACCACAGCAUUUGGUCAGACAACUGGGAACAUCUGCCUGCAUGCUGGGACAUGCAGGACCCACUGCCACCUCAACUGACUCCUGACGCCCGUGAAGCUGGAGAUUGGACGUCGGUGGCCCCAUGGCCUUGCUUUCCAACAGAAAACACACAAAACCUGUAGGAACUUGGCUUCUGUCUCACUUUUGCCUUCCAAACUCUGUGCUGCUAUGUCUAACUAGGAUGGCCUGACGGACACUCAUGACCCUCAUGAUAUUAUGGACUGCAAAAUCUUUACAACUGGAACAACGUUCUCCAUUUUGCAUCUGAUUCCAAAACAGAGUCCCAGCCAAGCACAGCUUUUUGUUUUAUCUACGCAUCUUCCAAGGUCUCCUUUGGC